AGAGUUUGAUCCUGGCUCAGAAUCAACGCUGGCGGCGCGCCUAACACAUGCAAGUCGCACGAGAAAGUGGAGCAAUCCAUGAGUAAAGUGGCGUACGGGUGAGUAACACGUGGAUUAUCUACCUCUUAGUGGGGAAUAACCCUGGGAAACCGGGGCUAAUACCGCAUAAGCUCGAGAGAGGAAAGCAGCAAUGCGCUGAGAGAGGAGUCCGCGGCCGAUUAGCUAGUUGGCAGGGCAAAAGCCUACCAAGGCAAAGAUCGGUAGCCGGCCUGAGAGGGCACACGGCCACACUGGCACUGAAACACGGGCCAGACUCCUAACGGAAGGCAGCAGUGGGGAAUCUUGCACAAUGGGGGAAACCCUGAUGCAGCGACGCCGCGUAAGCAAUGAAGCCCUUCGGGGUGUAAAGCUCUUUCGGCAGGGAAGAUUAUGACGGUACCUGCAGAAGCAGCUGCGGCUAACUACGUGCCAGCAGCCGCGGUAAUACGUAGGCAGCAAGCGUUGUUCGGAGUUACUGGGCGUAAAGGGUGUGUAGGCGGUUGCUUAAAUUUUGGUGUGAAAUCUCCCGGCUCAACUGGGAGGGUGCGCCCAAUACUGAGUGACUCGAGUGUCGGGAAAAGAAAGUGGAAUUCCUUGGUGUAGCGGUGAAAUGCGUAGAUAUCAGGAGGAACACCGGUGGUGUAGACGGCUUUCUGGACCGUAACUGACGCUGAAACACGAAAGCGUGGGUAGCAAACAGGAUUAGAUACCCUGGUAGUCCACGCCCUAAACGAUGCACAUUUGGUGUGAGUCAUUCAGUUGAUUCGUGCCGGAGCUAACGCGUUAAAUGUGCCGCCUGGGGAGUACAGUCGCAAGGCUGAAACUCAAAGGAAUUGACGGGGGCCCGCACAAGCGGUGGAGCAUGUGGUUCAAUUCGACGCAACGCGAAGAACCUUACCUGGGCUCGAACGGCUGGCUAACGGCGGUGGAAACAUCGCUACCCCGCAAGGGGGUCCAGUCGAGGUGCUGCAUGGCUGUCGUCAGCUCGUGUCGUGAGAUGUUGGGUUAAGUCCCGCAACGAGCGCAACCC
rnacentral:rRNA from 1 species